rnacentral:rRNA from 1 species
CCUACGGGAGGCUGCAGUAGGGAAUCUUCCACAAUGGACGAAAGUCUGAUGGAGCAACGCCGCGUGAGUGAAGAAGGGUUUCGGCUCGUAAAGCCCUGUUGGUAGUGAAGAAAGAUGGAGGUAGUAACUGGCCUUUAUUUGACGGUAAUUACUUAGAAAGUCACGGCUAACUACGUGCCAGCUGCCGCGGUAAUACGUAGGUGGCAAGCGUUGUCCGGAUUUAUUGGGCGUAAGGCGAGUGCAGGCGGGUAACAAAGUCUGAUGUGAAAGCCGUCGGCUCAACCGGAGAAUUGCAUCAGAAACUGUCGAACUUGAGUGCAGAAGAGGUGAGUGGAACGCGAUGUGUAGCGGUGGAAUGCGUAGAUAUAUGGAAGAACACCAGUGGCGAAGGCGGCUCUCUGGACUGCAACUGACGCUGAGGCUCGAAAGCAUGGGUAGCGAACAGGAUUAGAUACCCCUGUAGUC